rnacentral:rRNA from 1 species
UACGGGGGGGCAAGCGUUGUUCGGAAUUACUGGGCGUAAAGGGCCAGUAGGCGGCCAACUAAGUCGGAUGUGAAAUCCCCAGGCUUAACCUGGGAACUGCAUCCGAUACUGGAUGGCUUGAAUUCGGGAGAGGAUGGCAGAAUUCCAGGUGUAGCGGUGAAAUGCGUAGAUAUCUGGAGGAAUACCGGUGGCGAAGGCGGCAUCCUGGACCGACAUUGACGCUGAACGGCGAAAGCUAGGGAGCGAAA